rnacentral:lncRNA from 1 species
UGGUGUCUGCUUAAAAGCCAAUUGUUGUUUCCACUCCUGCUAAGGAUCACAAGAUUUUCUGAAAAGUCUAUUGAAAAGCAAUUUAACUAUUUUAGGACAAAACACAAGAAAAGUUCCAAGGGAAUAACUGGACUCAGGGCCUACAUUUCAUAUGUUUUCAGAAGAAAAAGGUCCCCUAAGCACGAAAUAAUGUUCUCCCUGGAUUACGAUGAUCAUCUGAGAACAGAAGAUGAAAAGGUAAGAUUCUUGAGUAGUAUGAGCUAUUGGUCACACAUCAAUACACAGCUCUUCCUUUGUGGACACAGGAUAUCAAAGAGACCGUUCAAAUUAGGUUAGGAUGCUCUAACCACAGAAGGUUACCUCUGUGGGCAAACAGAGGUGAUAUUUUACUAUAUACAUUUCUGCCCAGAGAAAGCUUCAAAGAUUCCUCAUACACUGGGCCAAAUGAAGGCUUUAAAAUCUUGCUAAGAAGUAUUUUACAUGUGGACUAAUGUUUUCCAUUAACCAUUAAAGACUGGAUAUGUACAUUGUCUUUUCAUAGCUCAGGUUUAAAAUUCCCUUGUAUAUUCCAUAGCGUCCUUUAAAAAAUUAUUUCUAAAUUAGUAUCAGUAACAUGUCUUGAUUUAAAGGUAUUGGAAAAAAGAAAAAGAAAAACAAAACAAAACAAAAAAAACCUAAAGAACUCUGUUUGAAAAGGAAUAAUGACCAGAGACACAAUGACUUGAAAUCAACCUCAAUUAGUUAAUUCUUAGGUUUUCUUCAAUAAGACAAUGAUUUAAAGUGAAAUGAGGAAAACUGGAUUAAUCUCAGAUUCUAUCAUAAUGUCCAGAAAUCUUUAAAAUGGGGGCAAAAUUAUAUUUUUAGAAGCUUAAAAUAUAGAUGCAUAUAUACAAACAGUCCUAUUUUACAUCUGAG